GAUGAACGCUGGCGGCGUGCCUAAUACAUGCAAGUCGAGCGAACAGACGAGGAGCUUGCUCCUCUGACGUUAGCGGCGGACGGGUGAGUAACACGUGGAUAACCUACCUAUAAGACUGGGAUAACUUCGGGAAACCGGAGCUAAUACCGGAUAAUAUAUUGAACCGCAUGGUUCAAUAGUGAAAGACGGUUUUGCUGUCACUUAUAGAUGGAUCCGCGCCGCAUUAGCUAGUUGGUAAGGUAACGGCUUACCAAGGCAACGAUGCGUAGCCGACCUGAGAGGGGGACGGGCCAAACUGGAACUGAGACACGGUCCAGACUCCUACGGGAGGCAGCAGUAGGAAUCUUCCGCAAUGGGCGAAAGCUUGACGGAGCAACGCCGCGUGAGUGAUGAAGGUCUUCGGAUCGUAAAACUCUGUUAUUAGGGAAGAACAAAUGUGUAAGUAACUAUGCACGUCUUGACGGUACCUAAUCAGAAAGCCACGGCUAACUACGUG
rnacentral:rRNA from 1 species